GAGACACGGCCCAGACUCCUACGGGAGGCAGCAGUGAGGAAUAUUGCACAAUGGGGGAAACCCUGAUGCAGCGACGCCGCGUGGGUGAUGAAGGUUUUCGGAUCGUAAAGCCCUUUUCUGCAUGACGAGCAAAGGACGGUAGUGCAGGAAUAAGUGUCGGCUAACUACGUNNNAGCAGCCGCGGUAAAACGUAGGACACAAGCGUUAUCCGGAAUUACUGGGCGUAAAGGGAGUGCAGGCGGUUGAAUAAGUUAGGCGUGAAAGACUUCGGCUAAACCGGGGGAGGUCGUCUGAUACUGUUCAACUAGAGUAUGGUAGAGGCGUGUAGAAUUCCGGGUGUAGUGGUGAAAUGCGUAGAGAUCCGGAGGAAUACCAGUGGCGAAGGCGGCACGCUGGGCCAUAACUGACGCUAAGACUCGAAAGCAUGGGUAGCGAACGGGAUUAGAAACCCCGGUAGUCCAUGCCGUAAACGAUGUACACUGGAUGUUCAGUCGGGGAAGCCUGACGGGGUGUCCAAGCUAACGCGCUAAGUGUACCGCCUGGGGAGUACGGUCGCAAGGCUA
rnacentral:rRNA from 1 species